UGACGGUACCUGACUAAGAAGCUCCGGCUAAAUACGUGCCAGCAGCCGCGGUAAUACGUAUGGAGCAAGCGUUAUCCGGAUUUACUGGGUGUAAAGGGAGCGUAGGCGGCACGGCAAGCCAGAAGUGAAAUGCCGGGGCUCAACCCCGGAACUGCUUUUGGAACUGUCGAGCUAGAUUGCAGGAGAGGUAAGUGGAAUUCCUAGUGUAGCGGUGAAAUGCGUAGAUAUUAGGAGGAACACCAGUGGCGAAGGCGGCUUACUGGACUGUAAAUGACGCUGAGGCUCGAAAGCGUGGGGAGCAAACAGGAUUAGAUACCCUG
rnacentral:rRNA from 1 species